AGUGGCGCACGGGUGAGUAACGCGUGGGAAUGUACCGUUUAGUGGGGAAUAACUCCGGGAAACUGGAGCUAAUACCGCAUACGCCCUUCGGGGGAAAGAUUUAUCGCUAAACGAUCAGCCCGCGUGAGAUUAGGUAGUUGGUGGGGUAAUGGCCUACCAAGCCUACGAUCUCUAGCUGGUCUUAGAGGACGACCAGCCACACUGGAACUGAGACACGGUCCAGACUCCUACGGGAGGCAGCAGUGGGGAAUAUUGGGCAAUGGGCGCAAGCCUGACCCAGCCAUGCCGCGUGAGUGAUGAAGGCUUUAGGGUUGUAAAGCUCUUUCGCCGAUGACGAUAAUGACGGUAGUCGGAGAAGAAGCCCCGGCUAACUUCGUGCCAGCAGCCGCGGUAAUACGAAGGGGGCUAGCGUUGUUCGGAAUUACUGGGCGUAAAGCGCGCGUAGGUUGCGCAGCAAGUCAGUGGUGAAAUCCCGGAGCUUAACUUCGGAACUGCCAUUGAAACUGCUGCGCUGGAAUCUCAGAGGGGAUAGCGGAAUUCCAAAUGUAGGGGUGAAAUCCGUAGAUAUUUGGAGGAACACCGGUGGCGAAGGCGGCUAUCUGGAUGAGAACUGACGCUNAGGUNCGAAAGCGUGGGGAGCAAACAGGAUUAGAUACCCUGGUAGUCCACGCCGUAAACGAUG
rnacentral:rRNA from 1 species